rnacentral:rRNA from 1 species
CCUACGGUGAGCAGCAGUGGGGAAUAUUGGGCAAUGGGCGCAAGCCUGACCCAGCAACGCCGCGUGAAGGAAGAAGGCUUUCGGGUUGUAAACUUCUUUUCUCAGGGACGAAGCAAGUGACGGUACCUGAGGAAUAAGCCACGGCUAACUACGUGCCAGCAGCCGCGGUAAUACGUAGGUGGCAAGCGUUAUCCGGAUUUACUGGGGGUAAAGGGCGUGUAGGCGGGGACGCAAGUCAGUGGUCAAAUUGAGGGGCUCAACCCCUUCCCGCCAUUGAAACUGGCGUUCUUGAGUGGAAGAGAAGUAUGCGGAAUGCGUGGUGUAGCGGUGAAAUGCAUAGAUAUCACGCAGAACCCCGAUUGCGAAGGCAGCAUGCCGGCUUCCGACUGACGCUGAAGCACGAAAGCGUGGGGAUCGAACAGGAUUAGAUACCCGUGUAGUC